rnacentral:rRNA from 1 species
GCAACGCCGCGUGAGUGAAGAAGGGUUUCGGCUCGUAAAGCUCUGUUGUUAAAGAAGAACGUGGGUAAGAGUAACUGUUUACCCAGUGACGGUAUUUAACCAGAAAGCCACGGCUAACUACGUGCCAGCAGCCGCGGUAAUACGUAGGUGGCAAGCGUUAUCCGGAUUUAUUGGGCGUAAAGCGAGCGCAGGCGGUCUUUUAAGUCUAAUGUGAAAGCCUUCGGCUCAACCGAAGAAGUGCAUUGGAAACUGGGAGACUUGAGUGCAGAAGAGGACAGUGGAACUCCAUGUGUAGCGGUGAAAUGCGUAGAUAUAUGGAAGAACACCAGUGGCGAAGGCGGCUGUCUGGUCUGCAACUGACGCUGAGGCUCGAAAGCAUGGGUAGCGAACAGGAUUAGAUACCCUGGUAGUCCAUGCCGUAAACGAUGAUUACUAAGUGUUGGAGGGUUUCCGCCCUUCAGUGCUGCAGCUAACGCAUUAAGUAAUCCGCCUGGGGAGUACGACCGCAAGGUUGAAACUCAAAAGAAUUGACGGGGGCCCGCACAAGCGGUGGAGCAUGUGGUUUAAUUCGAAGCUACGCGAAGAACCUUACCAGGUCUUGACAUCUUCUGACAGUCUAAGAGAUUAGAGGUUCCCUUCGGGGACAGAAUGACAGGUGGUGCAUGGUUGUCGUCAGCUCGUGUCGUGAGAUGUUGGGUUAAGUCCCGCAACGAGCGCAACCCUUAUUACUAGUUGCCAGCAUUAAGUUGGGCACUCUAGUGAGACUGCCGGUGACAAACCGGAGGAAGGUGGGGACGACGUCAAAUCAUCAUGCCCCUUAUGACCUGGGCUACACACGUGCUACAAUGGAUGGUACAACGAGUCGCGAGACCGCGAGGUUAAGCUAAUCUCUUAAAACCAUUCUCAGUUCGGACUGUAGGCUGCAACUCGCCUACACGAAGUCGG